GCUUCAGGCCAUCUGAAAUAUGAGCUUAAAUCCUGCAUUACGCCUUAUUUGGAGAUGUUUCCAGAAGCACUGCCACACAAUGUUUUAUACACCAUUUCUUGAAGCAACAGCCUAUUACUUGAUCUUCAACACCGACACGCUCAAAUAUAUGAUUUCUGUACAAUGUUUAGAAUCCUAUAUGAUGCCAGAAGAUACCCCUUCUAUAUAAAGGAAUGAAUCAACAAAUCCACAAAGCUGCCUCUUUGCUAACAAUCUCUCAGUAUGAUGCUGUGGAGACAUAUGAAACCAUUGAGAGCAGAAAUGUUUUGAAGCCAAGGUCCUUCUCAGAUAUACACAAAUUCCAUCUCUGAA